UCGCCGCCGCGGUGUUCGUCGCGCGUUAUGCCGAAGCGCCGGAAGACGAACGCGGCAGCACCGAGCAGGUGUGGUUCCUGCUCGGCGUC
rnacentral:tRNA from 1 species